rnacentral:rRNA from 1 species
CCUACGGGGGGCAGCAGGGAGGAAUAUUGGUCAAUGGACGAGAGUCUGAACCAGCCAAGUAGCGUGAAGGAUGACUGCCCUAUGGGUUGUAAACUUCUUUUAUAUGGGAAUAAAAUGUUCCACGUGUGGGAUGUUGUAUGUACCAUAUGAAUAAGGAUCGGCUAACUCCGUGCCAGCAGCCGCGGUAAUACGGAGGAUCCGAGCGUUAUCCGGAUUUAUUGGUUUUAAGGGGAGCGUAGGUGGUUUGUUAAGUCAGUUGUGAAAGUGUGCGGCUCAACCGUAAAAUUGCAGUUGAAACUGGCAGUCUUGAGUACAGUAGAGGUGGGCGGAAUUCGUGGUGUAGCGGUGAAAUGCUUAGAUAUCACGAAGAACUCCGAUUGCGAAGGCAGCUCACUGGACUGCAACUGACACUGAGGCUCGAAAGUGUGGGUAUCAAACAGGAUUAGAUACCCCAGUAGUC